AGAGUUUGAUCCUGGCUCAGGAUGAACGCUAGCGGGAGGCUUAACACAUGCAAGUCGAGGGGCAACACGAGGUAGCAAUACUUUGGUGGCGACCGGCGCACGGGUGAGUAACACGUAUGCAACCUACCCUGUACAGGGGGAUAACCCGGAGAAAUUCGGACUAAUACCCCAUUAGGAUAUUGAGAGGCAUCUUUUGAUAUUUAAAGCCACGGUGGUAAAGGAUGGGCAUGCGUAACAUUAGCUAGUUGGGAGGGUAACGGCCUGCCAAGGCUAUGAUGUUUAGGGGACCUGAGAGGGUGAACCCCCACACUGGUACUGAGACACGGACCAGACUCCUACGGGAGGCAGCAGUGAGGAAUAUUGGUCAAUGGGCGCAAGCCUGAACCAGCCAUCCCGCGUGAAGGAUGAAGGUCCUAUGGAUUGUAAACUUCUUUUAUACACCAAGAAAAAGCAGGACGUGUCCUGCCCCGACGGUAGUGUAUGAAUAAGCAUCGGCUAACUCCGUGCCAGCAGCCGCGGUAAUACGGAGGAUGCAAGCGUUAUCCGGAUUCAUUGGGUUUAAAGGGUGCGUAGGCGGCUUUUUAAGUCAGUGGUGAAAUCCUGCCGCUUAACGGUAGAAUUGCCAUUGAUACUGAAGAGCUUGAGUUCAGUUGAGGUAAGCGGAAUGUGUAGUGUAGCGGUGAAAUGCUUAGAUAUUACACAGAACACCAAUUGCGAAGGCAGCUUACUAAACUGUUACUGACGCUGAUGCACGAAAGCGUGGGGAGCGAACAGGAUUAGAUACCCUGGUAGUCCACGCCGUAAACGAUGUUCACUCGCUGUUUGCGAUACACAGCAAGCGGCCAAGCGAAAGCAUUAAGUACUCCGCCUGGGGAGUACGGUCGCAAGGUUGAAACUCAAAGGAAUUGACGGGGGCCCGCACAAGCGGAGGAACAUGUGGUUUAAUUCGAUGAUACGCGAGGAACCUUACCUGGGCUUAAAUGUAGAGCGACAGAUUGUGAAAGGCUGAUUCCCUUCGGGGCUGCUUACAAGGUGCUGCAUGGUUGUCGUCAGCUCGUGCCGUGAGGUGUCGGGUUAAGUCCCAUAACGAGCGCAACCCUUAUCGUUAGUUGCCAGCGGGUCAUGCCGGGGACUCUAGCGAGACUGCCACCGUAAGGUGUGAGGAAGGUGGGGAUGACGUCAAAUCAGCACGGCCCUUAUGUCCAGGGCUACACACGUGUUACAAUGGCAAGUACAAAGGGCAGCUACCAGGUGACUGGAUGCUAAUCUCUAAAGCUUGUCUCAGUUCGGAUCGAAGUCUGCAACCCGACUUCGUGAAGCUGGAUUCGCUAGUAAUCGCGCAUCAGCCAUGGCGCGGUGAAUACGUUCCCGGGCCUUGUACACACCGCCCGUCAAACAAUGGAAGCUGGGGGUACCUGAAGUC
rnacentral:rRNA from 1 species